rnacentral:rRNA from 1 species
GACAGAGGCCGCAAGCGUUAGGCGGAAUCACUGGGCUUAAAGCGUGUGUAGGCGGAUCGUUAAGUGUCUUGUGAAAUCCCACGGCUCACCCGUGGAACUGCUGGGCAUACUGGCGAUCUUGGGCCAACUAGGGGCAGCCGGAACAAGCGGUGGAGCGGUGAAAUGCGUAGAUAUCGCUUGGAACGCCGAAGGUGAAAACAGGCUGCUGGGGUUGUGCCGACGCUGAGACACGAAAGCCAGGGGAGCAAACGGG